rnacentral:rRNA from 1 species
GUCCAUGUCCAUGCUACCCUGAACAAGCCCAAUCCCGUCUGAUCUCGGAAGCUAAGCACGAUCGAGCCUGGUUAGUACUUGGAUGGGAGACCACCUACGAAGACCAGGGACUGUAGCAU